rnacentral:lncRNA from 1 species
GUGUCCUGACAGAAGCGCCUGACCCAGGGAAUGUGAAUCCAUGACGGCAGAGGAAAGACAUGGUACAAGAACAGUGUAAGCUCACACAUCUAUCUGCAUACCAAAGGAGAGACACUGGGAACAGUGGGAGUCGCUCCUCCCCACCCUCCCAUCAGUGCUUCAUUGGCUUGCUCUCUCAUGAGGUCACAGCUCAGUGGGUCAGCCAUGUCCCUGCACUCACACUGGUC